UCGAGAGCUCCAAGUGGGCCAUUUUUGG
rnacentral:snRNA from 1 species